rnacentral:rRNA from 1 species
AUACGGAGGGUGCAAGCGUUAAUCGGAAUUACUGGGCGUAAAGCGCGCGUAGGCGGCUAUAUAAGUCAGAUGUGAAAUCCCCGGGCUCAACCUAGGAACUGCAUUUGAAACUGUAUGGCUAGAGUAUGGUAGAGGUGAGUGGAAUUUCAGGUGUAGCGGUGAAAUGCGUAGAGAUCUGAAGGAACAUCAGUGGCGAAGGCGACUCACUGGGCCAUUACUGACGCUGAGGUGCGAAAGCGUGGGUAGCAAACAGGAUUAGAAACCCUAGUAGUCC